GAUCAUUACCGAGUGCGGGUCCUUUGGGCCCAACCUCCCAUCCGUGUCUAUUAUACCCUGUUGCUUCGGCGGGCCCGCCGCUUGUCGGCCGCCGGGGGGGCGCCUUUGCCCCCCGGGCCCGUGCCCGCCGGAGACCCCAACACGAACACUGUCUGAAAGCGUGCAGUCUGAGUUGAUUGAAUGCAAUCAGUUAAAACUUUCAACAAUGGAUCUCUUGGUUCCGGCAUCGAUGAAGAACGCAGCGAAAUGCGAUAACUAAUGUGAAUUGCAGAAUUCAGUGAAUCAUCGAGUCUUUGAACGCACAUUGCGCCCCCUGGUAUUCCGGGGGGCAUGCCUGUCCGAGCGUCAUUGCUGCCCUCAAGCCCGGCUUGUGUGUUGGGUCGCCGUCCCCCUCUCCGGGGGGACGGGCCCGAAAGGCAGCGGCGGCACCGCGUCCGAUCCUCGAGCGUAUGGGGCUUUGUCACAUGCUCUGUAGGAUUGGCCGGCGCCUGCCGACGUUUUCCAACCAUUUUUUCCAGGUUGACCUCGGAUCAGGUAGGGAUACCCGCUGAACUUAAGCAUAUCAAUAAAGCGGAGGA
rnacentral:misc_RNA from 1 species